rnacentral:rRNA from 1 species
GACGUAGGGCGCGAGCGUUGUCCGGAUUUAUUGGGCGUAAAGAGCUCGUAGGCGGCUUGUCGCGUCGUCCGUGAAAACCCACAGCUCAACUGUGGGCUUGCGGUCGAUACGGGCAGGCUAGAGUUCGGUAGGGGGAGACUGGAAUUCCUGGUGUAGCGGUGGAAAUGCGCAGAUAUCAGGAGGAACACCGGUGGCGAAGGCGGGUCUCUGGGCCGAUACUGACGCUGAGGAGCGAAAGCGUGGGGAGCGAACAGG